rnacentral:rRNA from 1 species
GACGUAGGGCGCGAGCGUUGUCCGGAUUAUUGGGCGUAAAGAGCUCGUAGGCGGCUUGUCGCGUCGUCCGUGAAAACCUGUGGCUCAACUGCAGGCUUGCGGUCGAUACGGGCAGGCCUGGAGUUCGGUAGGGGAGACUGGAAUUCCUGGUGUAGCGGUGAAAUGCGCAGAUAUCAGGAGGAACACCGGUGGCGAAGGCGGGUCUCUGGGCAGUAACUGACGCUGAGGAGCGAAAGCGUGGGGAGCGAACAGG